CCUACGGGUGGCAGCAGUGAGGAAUAUUGGUCAAUGGACGCAAGUCUGAACCAGCCAUGUCGCGUGCAGGAUGACUGCUCUAUGAGUUGUAAACUUCUUUUAUAAGGGAAUAAAGUGAGGCACGUGUGCCUUUUUGUAUGUAUCUUACGAAUAAGGAUCGGCUAACUCCGUGCCAGCAGCCGCGGUAAUACGGAGGAUUCGAGCGUUAUCCGGAUUUAUUGGGUUUAAAGGGUGCGUAGAGGGUGGGUUAAGUUAGUGGUGAAAGUUUGGGGCUCAACCGCAUAAUUGCAAUUGAUACUGGCAGCCUAGAGAGCAGAUGAGGUAGGCGGAAUGCGUGGUGUAGCGGUGAAAUGCUUAGAUAUCACGAAGAACUCCGAUUGCGAAGGCAGCUUACUAAGCUGCUACUGACGUUGAUGCACGAAAGUGUGGGUAGCAAACAGGAUUAGAUACCCUAGUAGUC
rnacentral:rRNA from 1 species